rnacentral:rRNA from 1 species
AUGGACGGAUCCUAUGCAGCAGUACGGUCCAUCCACAGAGCUACAACCUCGCGUCGCUACAUAGGCGCAAUCACACCGAGCCGCCGCUCAACUACAUGGUUUGGAUCCUGGGCGCUGGUGUUUCAACGCCGGCGGUCCCAGAGAGAGAGAGAGGGAGUUCUCGAGGAAGAGGAGAGGGAGACGCCAAGUCACCCAAUUUUUCUGCUAACCCUAGCUGAACCUAGCGCCUGGUUCAGUGGUACAGAAGAUGGCGAAAGGGGAAGACACAAAGUGGAGUUUGGAGGUUGUUUGGCUCGAUUUUGCUACACUUCAAGGCCCCUUUGCAAAAUGUACCAGCACCCACAUCUUUGA